UGAGGAACAUGACUUUCGGUGGGGGAUAGCCGGCCCAACGGCCGGGUAAUACCGCGUACGACCUUUUGGGGACAUCCCUGAUUGGUGAAAGCAGCAAUGCGCCGAAAGAGUGCCUCGCGGCCUAUCAGCUAGUUGGUGGGGUAAUGGCUCACCAAGGCAACGACGGGUAGCUGGUUUGAGAGGAUGGCCAGCCACAUUGGGACUGAGACACGGCCCAGACCUCCCGUAACGGGGAGGCCAGCC
rnacentral:rRNA from 1 species